UUUUCACCAUCUCAAAAACGAGAAACGAGAGAAACCAGUCAACGAAUCGAUUCUCGACUGCUUCUCCGCAGAUUCCGAUUCGAGCUCUUGAUCGUGAUCGUACGUCCUCAUCAAGCUCUGCUGCUCCUGGAUCGAUUUCAACAAACCCUAGAGAUCGAUUUCGAAGAGCUUCGUCGGGGUUGUAUCCAUCUUCUCCAAUAAGCACUCUGUGAGGCUGCUUACUUGCUUAGGAGGACCAAUCCUUUUUUAGAAAAGCUAUUGGGAAGCUCGAACAUUUACAAUCUUUAGUGGAGCUUGGAGCCUGAAUGAUUGUGACUAGCUUGUUUCUGUUCUGAGAACUUAGUGUAGUUCGUUGAGAGCAAAUGUUGGAGCAACGUGUUGGAGGCUUGGAGUCUUGGAAGAGUGCAACUUUGAGUUUUAUUUUUAUGCUAAACAUUAUACAAUUAUGCAUAAAAAUUUGUAAACUUUGGGUUUCAAUUUCAUGAUAAACAUUUACAGUUAUAAAAUAAAAAAGAAUGUAAGCUUUGGGUUUUUAA